UCUCAUGUGUACAUUGAGACGUUUUGAACAUCUGAAAACAUCUCAUGUCUACAUAGAGACG
rnacentral:pre_miRNA from 2 species